rfam:Schistosoma curassoni strain Dakar, Senegal genome assembly, scaffold: SCTD_scaffold0013792
AGCCUUCUGUAUCCGUGCUGAGAUUUCGUCACACGCCAGGCCACAAAGACUGAUGAGACUUCAAAGAUUAGUGAAGCG